ACUUAAUUCUGUUGGUGCUUCUUAAUUUUAUUUUGUUUUGCUUCUACAGGCAAUCUUCAUCUGUUACAAAACUCCUAGUGUUUCCCUCAUCUUCUCUUCAAAAAUGAGUUAUUUUUCCUUUUUUGCUUUUAUACCUGUCAUCUGUUGAUGUGGAAGAUACUGAUUUUUUCUGGAAAUGAGAACAGGAUAGAGGAACUAGCAGGCAGAGUAAGGAGAAGGAAAGAAGGAGGCCUGUACUUUGAACUCUAUUUUAUGUGUGGACUAGUUUCAGGAGACCUUUGACCACGUUCUCUAAUGCUUUUUGAGAUACAUAGGCAUUUUCACCUACACGGCUGUAAGUUAUGUCCAGUCAUAUGGGAGGCAUUUUGAAGAUGUGUGUUGCCCAGAGGGGACAGUUCACUCCCUGCCUUGUGGACUUUUUUUUCUAUUAGAGUAUAACAUUUUUUUCUUGUUUUUUUUUUUCAAGAAUUCAGAAGGGAUACUCAUAGUGCAAUGGUGCAGGGAUUGUGUUGAGGGUUUGCUGAAAUGAGUAAAUUUGCUCACACACCUUCGUCUGAGUGAACAGGUCUUAGUGGAAGGUUGGGAAGGCUGAAAAGGUGUUUUUAAAAGCAUAUGGGUGACUGUAGACUACAAGCCUUCUAAAUGCUUUAAAAACUCUGCCCCUGACUUUUGUUCCUGAUUGAGCUAUGGAUUUGGUGUAUAGAUUGUGAAUCUGCACACCACUGAAACCAUGCAGCUUCCAAAUCUGUUUUUCUCUCUAUAAAAGGGAAAAAAAGAUUUUUGUUUUUUCUCUGUUACUCUGUGAAUGCUUUUUAGAGAAACAGGUUACCACCUAGGGGAAUAUCUGUAAAAUUCAGUGUUUAGAAGUUUUACUUUUGUUAAUAUUGGAGAGAGUAAACUGGAAAACAAAUCCAAGUUAGUUGCCCACUCCAAAGAUCCCCUCAGAAGGACCCACAGGUGAAGCACUUCAAGGUUCACAGUGUCCAACCUGCAGAGAGAAUAGAAGGAUCCAGAACAAGUAUGAGAGAUUUGUUUUGCAGACCAGAAGAGACAAGGAGGCCUUGCAGAAAAGGGUUGUGGAACUGGAAGCUGAACUGAAAAGAUGCAAACAUGAGACACCUCCAGACCAAGAGAACAAAGGGGGCUGCUUUUCUAAGGGAAUCCAGAGGUUUGAAGAUACUUUUAAAUCAUCACAGCAGGAAGAUCCAGCAUCAUAGUCUUAAGAUGCUACAGGAAGUGAGUAUACAUCUUG
rnacentral:lncRNA from 1 species